UGCUGUGAGCUCGAUGAGUAGGGCGGGACACGUGGUAUCCUGUCUGAAUAUGGGGGGACCAUCCUCCAAGGCUAAAUACUCCUGACUGACCGAUAGUGAACCAGUACCGUGAGGGAAAGGCGAAAAGAACCCCGGCGAGGGGAGUGAAAAAGAACCUGAAACCGUGUACGUACAAGCAGUGGGAGCCCCACCACUAAGCCAGUGGUGAACUCCACAUACGCAUCCUUUGCUGAGGAUACGGUUAACGGAGCGAAAGCGACGUUCAACCGCAAAAGAAGCAGAGGGGGCUUAGUGGUGGGGUGACUGCGUACCUUUUGUAUAAUGGGUCAGCGACUUAUAUUCUGUAGCAAGGUUAACCGAAUAGGGGAGCCGGAGGGAAACCGAGUCUUAAUUGGGCGUUAAGUUGCAGGGUAUAGACCCGAAACCCGGUGAUCUAGCCAUGGGCAGGUUGAAGGUUGGGUAACACUAACUGGAGGACCGAACCGACUAAUGUUGAAAAAUUAGCGGAUGACCUGUGGCUGGGGGUGAAAGGCCAAUCAAACCGGGAGAUAGCUGGUUCUCCCCGAAAGCUAUUUAGGUAGCGCCUCGUGAAUUCAUCUCCGGGGGUAGAGCACUGUUUCGGCUAGGGGGCCAUCCCGGCUUACCAACCCGAUGCAAACUGCGAAUACCGGAGAAUGUUAUCACGGGAGACACACGGCGGGUGCUAACGUCCGUCGUGAAGAGGGAAACAACCCAGACCGCCAGCUAAGGUCCCAAAGUCAUGGUUAAGUGGGAAACGAUGUGGGAAGGCCCAGACAGCCAGGAUGUUGGCUUAGAAGCAGCCAUCAUUUAAAGAAAGCGUAAUAGCUCACUGGUCGAGUCGGCCUGCGCGGAAGAUGUAACGGGGCUAAACCAUGCACCGAAGCUGCGGCAGCGACACUCAGGUGUUGUUGGGUAGGGGAGCGUUC
rnacentral:rRNA from 1 species